rnacentral:rRNA from 1 species
UACGGAGGGUGCAAGCGUUGUCCGGAAUCACUGGGCGUAAAGGGCGCGUAGGCGGCUCAUGAAGGCUGUGGUGAAAGUCCGGGGCUCAACCUCGGAUCGGCCGUGGCGACUCGUGGGCUGGAGCACUGUAGAGGCGGGUGGAAUUCCGGGUGUAGCGGUGGAAUGCGUAGAGAUCCGGAAGAACACCAGUGGCGAAGGCGGCCCGCUAGGCAGUGGCUGACGCUGAGGCGCGACAGCGUGGGGAGCAAACAGG